rnacentral:rRNA from 1 species
UGGGGAAUUUUCCGCAAUGGGCGAAAGCCUGACGGAGCAAUGCCGCGUGGAGGCAGAAGGCCCACGGGUCGUGAACUUCUUUUCCCGGAGAAGAAGCAAUGACGGUAUCCGGGGAAUAAGCAUCGGCUAACUCUGUGCCAGCAGCCGCGGUAAGACAGAGGAUGCAAGCGUUAUCCGGAAUGAUUGGGCGUAAAGCGUCUGUAGGUGGCUUUUUAAGUCCGCCGUCAAAUCCCAGGGCUCAACCCUGGACAGGCGGUGGAAACUACCAAGCCGGAGUACGGUAGGGGCAGAGGGAAUUUCCGGUGGAGCGGUGAAAUGCGUAGAGAUCGGAAAGAACACCAACGGCGAAAGCACUCUGCUGGGCCGACACUGACACUGAGAGACGAAAGCUAGGGGAGCGAAUGGGAUUAGAUACCCCAGUAGUCCUAGCCGUAAACGAUGGAUACUAGGCGCUGUGCGUAUCGACCCGUGCAGUGUUGUAGCUAACGCGUUAAGUAUCCCGCCUGGGGAGUACGUUCGCAAGAAUG